AAAUCCUUGGAUGGGAUCCAAGCAAGUAAGUUCAUAAUAUGAUGAACUAAGAGAUUUUAUAAUAAAUAAAUGGGGAAUAAUGUAAUUCCUGUGAUGUUGUUUUAGGUGAUUAAGGAUUUGUCACCUGGACUUGAGCAAUUUGGAAAGCGAAUUGAUGUAAGUAAUCUAUUUUAAUCUUAUUGUGGAUCAUAUUACUAUGUUUGUUAAGUUUUUAAAGUGUUAUUCAUGCAUGAUAUGUUAUGAUGGAUAAGUAACUUGCAUGAUCUCAUAAACUAUGGCCAUGUAUGCACCAUGAUUAUGCUGAUAUUUUAAUCAUGCAUGCAAGUUAGUAUAAUGAAAUACUAUCUAGCCAAGAGGUACUAUAAUGGGCUCAAAGAUGCUACUGAUCGAAUGCAACUGAGCUGGCCUUGCUAGUGGCCGAGAAUGACUAAGCUGGCCUUGCUAGUGGCCGAAAAUGACUAAGCUGGCCCCGCCAGUGGCCGAGAAUGACUUCGCAGUAGCAUCCGAGAGAAUGGACCACGGUAUGCCGGGGGCACGAUUUCAUGUGCGUGUUUUAUGAAAAUUCUGUUUGACUGAAAAUACUGCUUUGUUUUCCAAGCAUACAUAUUUUGCCAUGAUAAAUUGUGAGAUAAUACACAUGUCAGCUUCUCAAACCCUGCAUAAACAUGGUUACCAUUAUGUUCGAUCCAGUAAAAUUAUGUAUGAUUACUUACUGAGCUGUGUAGCUCAUACCCGUUAUAUUUUUUUCAGAUCACCACUGAAAGCUGCCAGAGACACUUUAAUUUUGUAUUAGGGCUUCUUUCUUUUGGGGUAAAGCAAGUAUACUUUUGUGUACAUAAACUACAUAGAAGCUCUGUAUUUGGGUACUGACCAGCAUGUUGUACUAAGAAUGCUUUCAUAUGAAAAGAUUUGGUUGGUUUGACUACCCUGUUACCCAUGUAUGAGGCUGCAUGCUAUUGUGGGCGGUAGUCGGCAAUAGCACGGCCGUGUCACGGAUCUGGAUCCAGGGCGUGACAUUCUCGUGGUAUCAGAGCAAUAGGUUAACCAUG
rnacentral:lncRNA from 1 species